GCCGGGCAUGGUGGCGCGUGCCUGUAGUCCCAGCUACUCGGGAGGCUGGGGCAGAAGAAUCGCUUGAACCCAGGAGGCGGAGGUUGCAGUGAGCGGAGGUUGCAGUGAGCCGAGAUCGCGCCACUGUACUCCAGCCUGGGCGACAGAGCAAGACUCUGUCUCAA
rnacentral:SRP_RNA from 1 species